rnacentral:rRNA from 1 species
UACGAGGGGUGCUAUCGUUGUUCGGAAUCAUUGGGCGUAAAGAGUAUGUAGGCGGCCAUAUAAGUCAGUUGUGAAAUCCCCGGGCUCAACCCGGGAAGUGCAAUUGAUACUGUAUGGCUUGAGUAUGGAAGAGGGUAGUGGAAUUCCAGGUGUAGUGGUGAAAUACGUAGAUAUCUGGAGGAAUACCGGUGGCGAAGGCGGCUACCUGGUCCUAUACUGACGCUGAGAUACGAAAGCAUGGGUAGCAAACAGG